CAGUUUUAUUAUAUCGAUACGGAAAAUUCUCGGAAAAUCAAUCACGAAGGAAACUUAUAUGAACGAUUGCUUUAUUUGUUUUUCCGUCUAACUUCGAUAACUCUAUAGCUAAUCGAAUCAUAACGUGACGAAUCGUAUAAGGAAAAAAAGAAAGAAGUUGGAACAGACGAUGGAUAUGUUAAGAUACGAUUAACCAAAAACAGAAACAUUUCAAGUCUGAAUGGUAGAAUUAAACAAAGGCAAAAUGAAACAUUUCACUCAAGUACGAAUAAAACAAUUAAAUGAAAGCAGAGUUUCUAAGAGUUUGAAGAAAAUUUUUGAGAGAUAAGCACAGUUCUUUAGUAUGUGUCACUGGGAUGUUCCAAGUAUUAAAAUAAUUAAUGCAUGUUACAAAGACGUUGAUUGCCCUGUGUUUUAGAAAUUGGAAAACACGGUUAGUUAUAAUGAAACAUUUCAUUGAAGGCCUAAUGGAAGAAUUAAACAAAAGCGAAUUUCCGAAGGAUGUUCGAAACAUUAGAAAUAAUUCAUAAAAUGCAGUAAAUGCUUCCAAAGUGAAAGCAAUACAACGAGUGAAAUGUCAGACAAGAUUGUUCAAUCAAUGCACUGCAACCAGAAUAAAUCGGAUGCAAUAUUUCAAUAAAAUAAUCAAUAUUUGCGCAUAACUAUUACUACAGCUAAACCGUCCAAAGAGACAAAUAUACGAGUUGCGUCUCGUACUGGUGGGAGACAAGAUUAUUCAAUCAAUACACUGCAAUUAGAACAAAUCGUGUACAAUAUUGCAGUAAAAUAAUCUUGAUAUGCUAAUAAUUAGUAAUGCAGUAAACAGUCCAAAGAUAAAAAAAAACGCAUGAAGUCUUAAUUAGUAUAAAAAAGUGAGACAACAUUAUGCAAUCAAUACACUGCAACCAGAAUAAAUCGGAUGCAAUAUUGCAACAAAAUGAUUAUUAUGCUAAUAAACAACAAUGCAGUAAAACCAUCCAAAGAGAAAAAUAUGUAUAGAUACAACGGUUGGCAUCUUACAAAGAAAUAAUAAUGGUGGCACUGUUUCAAAAAUUGGAAAACACGGUAGUUAUGUUAACCAGACGCUUUAAUCAGAAUGAAAUAUUUCAUUGAAUUCCGAAUGCGAGAAUCAAACAAAGGCAGAAUGAAACAUUUUCAUUGAAAUCCGACUAGGAGAAUUAAACAAAAGCAGAAUCCCCGAGGGAAAGAACGAAUGCUUGAAAGAGAGAGAAGCAAAUAUUUAUAGUCUGUGUCGCUGGAAUGUGCCAAACAUUAAAAAAUAUUUUUAAAAAUGCAGUAAAAGCGUCCAAUGUUAAAACUGUACCUACACCAAGUGGCGUCUUACAAAGAAUUAAUAAUGGUGCUCCUCUGAAUCGUAAAUCGGAAAACGUGGUUAGCUAGAUUAAAACAUUUUAUUGACAUCUGAACACAAGGAUUAAACAAAUAUUGGAAAAAAAUGAACUGAAGUCCGAAUGGGAGAAUUAAAAGAGGUGAAAAUCCCGAAGGAAAAGGGAAUGCAUAAGAGAGAGAGUAACUGUUUUAGAAUAUUCCAAACAUUAAAGAUAAUUAUUCAAAAAAAGCGUCCGAAACAAUAAUAACGAGUGGCGUCUUACAAAGAAAUAGCAGUGAUGGUUGUUUAUUCCAGAAAUCGGAAAACAUGGUAAAACAGAGUUAAUCUUUUUAUUGAAGUCUGAAUGGAAUAAGUAGUGAACUGUU